rnacentral:lncRNA from 1 species
AGGCAUCAACUUGGAAAUUGUUCGGAAUAUAUGCCUUUGUUAUAGACUAGAAACUACAGUCAACAACACUGUGUUGAUGAGGGUGAGCUCAAUGAGCACUCCCAUUGUCAGAGCCCUUGGUGGGAUGCUUUCUUGAGCCCAAGGAACAAUGGAUAUCGAAGGGUUGAAGGACAAACUAAUUGAGCUUCCCAUGAUGACAAGUUCUCAUUUUUUAUUUUAUUUUUUCUAGUUUUAACUGAAAUUUUAACAUCCCUGUCUUGGGUAGGAAUGGAUCCCAAGACCUCUCUUGCACUCAAAGUCUUGUGAAUAAUUAUUUUACCAUUGAGCCAAGAGA